AUGGGGACGGCGGGGAAGGGCGCGUGGGUCGUGCCGGCGCCGGCGUACAAGGAGGUGGAGGGGUGGGAGGGGUCGGGGGACGACUCGCCGGGCUACAGGUGCGGCCACUCGCUCACCGUCAUCGCGCCCACCAAGGGCCACGGCCCGCGCCUCAUCCUCUUCGGCGGCGCCACGGCGAUCGAGGCCGGCGCGACCUCCGGCCUCCCCGGCAUCAGGCUCGCGGGGGUGACCAACACGGUGCACUCGUACGACGUGGACAAGCGGAGGUGGACGAGGUUACAUCCAGCUGGAGAUCCUCCAUCUCCAAGGGCUGCACAUUCUGCUGCUGCUGUGGGCACCAUGGUUGUUUUCCAGGGUGGGAUUGGACCAGCGGGGCAUUCGACAGACGAUCUCUAUGUGCUUGAUCUGACAAACGACAAGUUCAAAUGGCACCGGGUUGUUGUUCAGGGGGCUGGUCCUGGUCCUCGCUAUGGUCAUUGCAUGGAUUUGGUAGCGCAGCGUUACCUUGUGUCAGUCUCGGGAAAUGAUGGAAAGCGGGUCUUAUCAGAUGCUUGGGCUUUGGACACAGCUCAGAAACCAUAUAAGUGGCAGAAACUUAACCCUGAUGGUGAUAGACCUUCAGCAAGGAUGUAUGGCACUGCCAGUGCACGCUCCGAUGGCAUGCUUUUACUUUGUGGUGGAAGGGAUGCUUCUGGGACGCCACUCUCUGAUGCUUAUGGACUACUUAUGCAUACAAAUGGUCAGUGGGAGUGGACUCUGGCUCCCGGGAUAUCUCCAUCUCCAAGAUAUCAGCAUGCAGCUGUCUUUGUUGGUGCUCGGCUGCAUGUUACUGGAGGUGUCCUUAGAGGAGGGAGAGCUAUUGAAGGGGAGGGUGCAAUUGCAGUUCUGGACACUGCUGCUGGAGUUUGGUUGGAUAGAAAUGGCAUUGUGACCUCUCGCACUCUAAAAUCUUCCAAUGAGCAUGAUGCUUCUUCGGAUCUGCUUCGUCGUUGCCGCCAUGCAGCUGCUUCUGUUGGUUCUCAGAUAUACAUUUAUGGUGGACUGAGGGGAGAUAUCCUCCUCGAUGAUUUUCUUAUUGCUGAGAAUGCACCCUUCCAAUCAGAAACUGAUAGGGUCCCAAGGUCAGAAAAUCAAAAUAGAAACCAUAAUUUUAAUUCUGACUCUCCGCCCUUCGAGCAAUAUACAAAUAACAGUCAUGAGACAGCUCCUGGUUUCAGCACGGACAAGAAGUCAAUUGACAUGUUGACAGAGGCAUCAGCUGCCGAAGCUGAAGCUGUUAGUGCUGUAUGGCGAGCUGCAAAGGAAGCAUCUCAUGCAUCUUCAGAAGACAGUCUUUCAGAUGGAAUAGGAUCCGAGUCCCCUCUCAGUGAAACUUCACCAAUGGCUGAUGAUUUAGAUGAUGGGGGCUCCAUGGAACCAGAUGUGAAGUUGCAUUCUAGAGCAGUUGUAGUUGCUAAAGAAGCAGUAGGAGAUUUAGGAUGUUUGGUCCGACAGCUUUCACUUGAUCAGUUUGAGAAUGAAAGUAGAAGAAUGCAUCCCGCGAACAAUGAUCAAUCAUAUUCAUCGAAGAAAGCAUUAAAUAGACAAAGGUCUCCACAAGGUUUGCAUAAGAAGGUCAUUUCGCUCUUAUUGAGGCCAAGGAAUUGGAAUGCUCCAGCUGAUAGGACCUUUUUCCUGGACUCUUAUGAAGUUGGCGAGCUAUGCUAUGCUGCUGAGCAGAUUUUUAUGCAGGAACCAACUGUCUUACAACUAAAAGCACCAGUUAAAGUAUUUGGUGAUCUGCAUGGGCAGUUUGGGGACCUAAUGCGCCUUUUCGAUGAAUAUGGUUAUCCAUCUACUGCUGGUGACAUAACAUAUAUUGAUUAUCUCUUCUUGGGAGACUAUGUUGACCGAGGUCAGCACAGCUUGGAAACAAUAACAUUACUUCUUGCUCUUAAAAUAGAGUACCCUGAACAUGUCCACCUGAUUAGAGGAAAUCAUGAGGCUGCUGACAUCAAUGCUCUUUUCGGCUUCCGUCUUGAAUGCAUUGAGAGAAUGGGUGAAAGUGAUGGUAUAUGGGCUUGGACUAGAUUCAACCAACUAUUUAAUUAUCUCCCUCUGGCUGCUAUGAUAGAAAAGAAAAUAAUAUGCAUGCAUGGUGGCAUCGGGAGGUCAAUAAACAGUGUGGAGCAAAUUGAAAAAAUUGAAAGGCCUAUUACAAUGGAUGUCGGAUCUAUUGUCCUCAUGGAUCUUUUAUGGUCUGAUCCUACAGAAAACGAUAGUGUAGAGGGUUUGAGGCCAAAUGCACGAGGACCUGGCUUGGUAACAUUUGGGCCUGAUCGAGUGGCAGAAUUCUGUAAACGAAACAAAUUGCAAUUGAUCAUAAGAGCUCAUGAGUGUGUUAUGGAUGGAUUUGAGCGUUUCGCCCAUGGGCAGUUGAUCACUUUAUUUUCAGCCACUAAUUAUUGUGGCACUGCAAAUAAUGCUGGCGCCAUACUUGUGGUGGGAAGGGGACUAGUUAUUGUCCCGAAGUUAAUUCAUCCACUUCCACCACCUGUUAAUUCUCCUGAGUCAUCCCCUGAACGUGCCAUGGAUGCCACAUGGAUGCAGGAACUUAACAUACAGCGGCCACCUACACCAACUAGAGGACGGCCGCAUUCUGCUGAAAUUUCUUCGCCAGUUGCAAGGUACAUACAUUAUACCUCGGGACAGCCAGCCAACAGAGCAUCAUGGACUCCCAAUUUUUCGAGACAUUGCCCGGUAGUUAAGUUGAUAGUGACUCAUCAGUGUUCAGUGCAGUCAGCCCCUCAUUGGGGAGCUACAUACAUAACAGUUCUGAAGGGAAGAAUGGAAUGUUGUCAGAUAAUUGUUGGAAAGUGGGAGUCUGUGUGUAUCAUUGUCGCGGUUUACCUGUAA
rnacentral:rRNA from 1 species